GGGGGCUUUAAAGUCUUCAGAGAGGCCUGGCCAGUGUCCUGGGGGCCAGUGUUUUGGGCAGAGCGAGCUGAGUCCUUGGGAGCUUGGGACUGGCUAGUGGAGCUGGGGGCUCCUCCUACAACGUGUUGACGUGGCAGAUGGACGGAGUCUGUCUCCUGCCAGAAUGUGAGCUCUCCCCUGCUGUGUCCAGAACACAUCCUCAGCAUCAGUAAAUACUGUUGAGUACACGUGUGAAUGAGUAGGAGCUCUCACCCAGCUACCCAGCCUCCCGGGAUGUGCAGUGAGGACGGAGCUACUGAGCAAAGUCUCCAGGUGCUCUGGAUGGACCCUGUGAGCAGACCCGAGUAGAAGCACCUGGCCCAGGCACUCACCAGAUUCUGGUUCAACAGAACCAGGGGCCACAAGGCAUGUGGGAUCUGAGCUUCCUGACCAGGGAUUGAACCCACACCCUCUGCAUUGGAAGGCGAAGUCCCAACCACUGGACCACCAGGGAAGUCCCUGUUUUGAAAUUUAAAAACACAAGGUCUAGGGCGAGUGUCCCCAGCCUCCGUGCCAAGGACCGUACUGCCCGUCAGAUCAGCAGCGGCAUUAGGUUAGAAAUAAAGUGAACACUUGAAUCAUCCUGAAACCAUCCCUCCAAAUCCCAUUUUUCUGUGGAAAAAUGGUCUUCCAUGAAAUUGGUCUCUGGUGCCAAAAAGGUUGUUGUUCAGUCACUGAGUCACGUCCAACUCUUUUGCAACCCCAUAGACUGCAGCACGCCAGGCUUCUCUGUCCUUCACUGACUCCUGACUGCUCAAACUCGUGUCCAUUGAGGCGGUGAUGCCAUCCAACCAUCUCAUCCUCUGUCAUCCCUUUAUCCAGCCCUCAGUCUAUCCCAGCCUCAGAGUCUUUUCUAAUGAGUUGACCAAAAAGGUUGGGGGCCACUGAUGUAGGGGAUAGACUGGGCUUGGAUCCUGACUCCCUUCCAACAGGAGUAUGACCUCAGGCUGGUUACUUGACCUCUCUGUAAUGGUUCAUUGGUUGUAGCUGUGUAACAGAUUACCUCAAAACUUAGCAGCUGAAAAG
ensembl:lncRNA